UUUAGUUCUUUACCCUUCCCCACCUUCUCUGUUCUACGGUUUCACAUUUAAUCAUCGCCAGCCUCUCUCCCUUCUAACGGCAACCUCUCUGUUUUCCUUCCUUCUUGUCUUCCUCUCCUUACAAUAUAUAAAUACUGAUAGCAGCUAGACGAUUCAGUUGAGUAUAGGGAUUUUGGAGUAUUCAUGCUUCUGAGGCUGCGCAAGUUGAUGAUGAAGAUACAGCAAUGAUGAACAUUAUCAGGAAUCAACUAUGCUGAUAUAACAAAUUAGCUUUGGCGUCAUUGGCUCCAUCUGACGAAUCAGUACCUAGCAGCUCUAGAAAGAAGAAGUCCAAGUGAUCACUGCCAUGUUCAUGCAAUACAAAAUACACCAUUGUUUCUGCCAGAAAGGUGCUUUUGGAAGGAGAGAAAUGCUAAGAAACAAAGUCUGCAACAACAUUGAAACAGAUGAAAAAUUUUCCUAUUCUCAGGCAAAUCAUGGUCCUCACGGAAGCUUCAAAGUCUAAGAAAGGCAAAUGGAUUGGUGUUUCAUUUUAGUGUAAGAAUUUGAAAAAGUUCCAAUAUGUUCAUGGGCUGUCAAAGUUGAAAAGUGCAUAGGAAGACUACUGCUAUAUUGUUAUCUUUGAGGGUUCUCCCUAUCAAAGUCAUGAGAGAAUUUGUAGAACAAGCUUCUUUAUUUUUUAUUCUAUAUAUAUAUAUAUAUAUAUAUUUUUUGGACUUUAGGUUUCAUGUAAGGUAU